rnacentral:rRNA from 1 species
UACAUGGGGUGCAAACGUUGCUCGGAAUUAUUGGGCGUAAAGCGCACGUAGGCGGUUCGUUAAGUCGGAUGUGAAAGCCCUCGGCUCAACUGAGGAAGUGCACCCGAAACUGGCGAGCUUGAGUACGAAAAGAGGAUCGCGGAAUUCCCGGUGUAGAGGUGAAAAUUCGUAGAUAUCGGGGAGGAACACCGGGUGGCGAAGGCGGCUUACUGGACCGGUUCUGACGCUGAGGCGCGAAAGCGUGGGGAGCAAACAGG